ACAGCACCGGGCGUUCCGCGACGUCACAGUGACGGUACAGUGCCUGGAGCUAGGCUGUUUUCUCGUUAGAGCGGAGCCUGGUAACCGCGACCUCCCUGCCAGGUCCUUUGUGUUGCUGGCUGGAGAUGGGUAGUUGACAAACUCCGACCCAGCACAGUGUUUAUGUGGGUCAAAACUAGAAAACUAUGUCUGGAUGCGGCCGAGGCGGAAGGAUCCUUUCAGGCCAGGAGUUAAAGAGCAGCCUGAGCAACUGGGCGCGACCCCAUUUCAGUAGUUUCACCUCAACUUCCCAGCUCCUUGAACCCCAGGGUUCAAGGCUGCCAUGAGCUAUGAUCCCAUCACAGCACUCCAUCCUGCGAGACUGAGGGAUUGUGCUGCAUUCUGACUUAGGUUCUGCUAUCAAAAACAGAAUGCCCUGAUCCUUAGAGGCAGAGGCAGCUCUUCAGCCUAUGGGGAAUCCUGUCUACUGUGUGCCUGAUGACAUGAACUUACUGAGUGCUGCUUAGUUGCAUCAUAGACACCACCUGUCUUUGAACAGCUACCCUGACUCUUGAUGGAAUGCAAAGGCUGCCAGGGGCCACUGCUUAAGCUCUUGGACUCACUGAGGCAGUAAAAGAACCAUAUCCUGUGUUUGAAUCAAACCCCGAGUUCGUGUGUGUAGAAGGUUUGCCAGACAGGAUUCCCUUUUGAAGCCCUCCUGGUUUGGAAUUCCAUGACUUGAAAGGAUCGUCCGUGGGAGUAAUAAAAUCAAGUUUGUUGGUAAAAAGUAAGUUUUAGGCCAGGUGUGGUGGCUCAUGUUUGUAAUCCCAGCACUUUGGGAGGCCGAGGCGGGCAGAUCACCUGAGGUCCGGAGUUCGAGACCAGCCUGGCAGACAUGGGAAAACCCCGUAUCCACUAAAAAUACAAAGAAUUAGCCGAGCAUGGUGGCGGGCACCUGUGAUCCCAGCUACUUGGGAGACUGAAGCAGGAGAAUCACUUGAACCUGGGAGGCAGAGGCUGCAGUGAGCCAAGAUCACAACACUGCACUCCAGCCUGGGUGACAGAGCGAGACUCUGCCUCAACAACAACAACAAUAAAAACUUCACAGUUUCUAAAAAGACCACGAAGCCCUGAGAGUAAUGAAAAGCUUCCUGACAUUGAGGUCACUGUGGAAGGACCUCACAAUGACUCAAGCUACCACGUACUGUUGAUUGUGAUGAAAUGCCAGCUGAGGCACAUGCUUUGGGAGGUAAGUGCCUGCUGCACUUGACCACUAUGAAGGCUGGUGUGGGAAGAAUCCUUUUGGAUGCACUUCAGCAGGGGCCCCGAUCCCUGGGUCACAGGCCUGUACUGGGCCACACAACAGGAGAUGGGACCAUCUAGUUGCAGGAAAAGAAGGUCAAGACUCCCACUCAUUCUACAUUAUGCCUCAGCCAAGAUGUCUCACCCUACUCUCUAUGAUGCAAGAAGCCCCUGGGGAACGUUUCAGUCCCACUCUGUACUAUUGUCAUGUGCUCAUCACAGUGUGGUGGAAUUUAAAUGACCUCUUAUCAAGAUGGAUAAACCCAAGUUUCCCAGUGCUGGAAUACAGAAAAUGGAUGGACAAGUAAGUCCCACUCAGCACCCAUAGCCCAGACAUGGGGACCUCAACACAACUGGGCCCCAGACAUCACCUUUCAUUCUGGAUCUACCAUGAAAGACUUCAGAGUCCAGGAAGAGAGACUGACUGGGCAGCAUGUUAUUCAGUUACAAAAAGACUUGGACUAUGACUCAAAAAUGAUCAAAUAAUAGUUCAUGCAUCAAAUGCAAUAGGAAGCAUUUCUGGAGGGGUCUUGCUCUGUUGUCCAGGCUGGAGUGCGGUAGUGCUAUCACAGCUGACUGCAUCAUCGACCUCUCAGGCUCAAGCAGUCCUCCCACCUCAGCCUCCCAGGUGGCUGAGACUGUAUGCGCUUGCCACAAUGCCCAACUAAUAUCUGGACUUUUCCUAUACAUGGGUUCCAAAGGGCUGAAUGCGAAACGAAGUGACCUCACAAUGACUCAAGCUACCACUUACUGUUGAUUGUGAUGAAAUGCCAGCUGUGGCACAUGCCUUGGGAGCUAAGUGGCUGCUGCACUUGACCACUAUGAAGACUGGUGUGGAAGGGUCCUUUUGGAUGUACUUGGGCAGAGUCCCCAACGCCGGAGCCAUGGAACUGUAAGGAGCCACACAGCCGGAGGUGAAUGGUGUUGAAUGAGGGAAGCUUCAUCUGUGUUUACAGCCACUCCCCGUUGCUCACAUUCCCGCCUGAGCUCCGCCUUCUCUCAGAUCAGCAGCAGCAUUAGAUUCUCAUGGGAGCACGCACCCCAUUGUGAACUGUGCAUGUGAGGGAUCUACGUUGCGCUGUCCCUGUGAGAAUCUAAUGCCUGAUGAUCUGCCACUUUCUCCAAUAUUAUCUUCAAGUGAGCCACUCCUGGCCCAAUUCCUGUCCCCCGUUGGCCUAUAGAGGCCAAGCUUCUGCCUCAUGACGGCCUCUCCAGGUCGAGCCCCUCCUCCUGGCUCCGUCUGCAGGCCCAACACUUCCCUCAAAUAAACUUUUCUGCCCAGCUCCUGUCCAGCUCACGGCAGCCAUUGUAGGCCUGAAAAUUCCUCAAUUCAAGCUCUCUAGGCCCACCCACUGGCCUGGACACGCCCAGCUCCGACCUGACAAUGGCCUCUACAGGCCCAGCUCAUUGGGCUCUGAGGGACCUCUCCAGGCCAAGCUCUUACCUCAUGGAGGCUUCUCCAGGUGGUUUCUGCCUGUCUUUAGGCAGUGGUGAUAGGUCAGCUCCUCCUUCACACUGGCCUCCUUUGGGCAGGUCCUGCCUCUUGCAGCCUGUCAAAGUCCAGCUCCUGCCUCUGAGUGGCUUCUGUGCACCCAAAUGUCCUCCAGUCAGCCUGUCCUAGCUGAGCUCCUGCCUCCUGUUGGCCUCUAUAAACCCAGCCUCUGCUGUAUGGUGGCCUCUCCAGGCCCAGCUCUUCCUCCUGGCGGUAUAUACAGGUCCAAGUCCUGCUUCCCAAUAGCCUCUUUAGGCCAGGCUCAUGCCUUACGGCGGCCUUUCCUGGCCCAGCUUUUGCCCGUUGGCAUACUCUCCAGGCCCAGAAUGUCCUCAGAUCAGCCACUGCAGGCCCAACUCUUCUUCCUGGCUGUGUCUACAGGCCCAACUGCUGCCUCACAACACCCUCUUUUGGCCAAGCUCCUGCCCAGCACCUGGUGGCCUCUAUAUGCCCCAGACUUCUUAAAAGUCAAGUUUGCUAGGCUCACCUUUGGCCUCCCAGUGGCCUUGACAGGCCCAGCUCUUUCCUCAUGGCAGCUUCCCAAAGUCAGGUUUCUGCCUGCAUUGCGGCAUCCUUGAUGGACCCAACUCUUGCUUUAUGCUGGCCUUCCCACACCAAGUUUCUGCCUGCCUCAUGGCAGGAUCCAGUAGGCCCAGCUCCUGCCUCUAAUGGCCUGGUUAGGCUCAUCUCAUGCCUCAAGGUGGCCACCCCAGAUGAAGAUCCUGCCUUUUGGCAGCCUCUAGAGGCCCAGCUCCUGCAUCUCAUUGCCUCUUGAAGCCCAGCUCAUUCCUCAAAACGGCCUAUCCAAACCCAGCUUUUCCCUUUGGUGGCUUCUCCAGGCCCAGAAAUUCCUCAGUUCGGCUUCGCAAGGUGAAGUUGCUGCCUUUCUGUGCCUUCUCCAGGCCCAGUUCUUCCUCCCAGCCUCUGUCUACAGUCCCAUCUCCUGACUCACAACAACCUAUUUUGGUUCGGCUCCUGCCCAGCACCUGGCGGCCUUUGUAGGCCUAAAGCUUCCUCAAGUCAAGCUUUCCAGGCCCAGAUCAUGCCACCCAGUGGCCUUCACAGGCCCAGCUACUGCCUGACGAUGGCUUCUCCAGGCCUAGGUCUUGCCUUCCCCCAGCCUCCCGAGGCCCAGCCCUUGCGUCACAGUUGCUAUCCCAGUCCAAGUUACAGCUUGCCACCCGACGGCCUCGACAGACCAAGCUCCUCCAUCACACUGGACAGUUUAGGACAAGCUCAUACGUUUUCCGGCCUCUCCGGGCCAAGCUCCUGCCUCACACUGGCCUCUAUAGGCCCAGGUGCUGAAUCGCAAUGGCCUGUUUAGGCCCAUCUCGUGCCUCUCUCGGACUCUCCAAGCGAAGAUCUGGCCUCACACUGGCUUCUGUGGGCCACGUGAUCCCUCACAUUGCCCUGUUUAGGAUCAGGGGAUGCCUCUCCACAGGCCGAGAUCCUGCCUGUUGUACGCCUCUUCAGGAUGCGCCGCUGACUCACAGUGGACCCGCCAGGCCCAGAUGUUGCCAUCGUGGCCUUUGCAGGUCAAGCACUUAACUUUUCACAGCCUAUCUAUAUAGGCCUAUCUAUAUAGGCCAGGCUGCUGCCUCCUGAUAAUGGCUUCUGCAGGCCUAAAUCCACCUGAAAUAAGCCUCGAAAGGAACAGCGCGUGUGUGUUUGGUGCCCGAACAACCACAGCUUUUGCCGAACAGUGGCCUCUACCGGCUCAGCUCUUCCCUCAGCCUGGCCGCCUCAGGCCCAGCUCCUGCCUGUUGGCGGCCUCUCCAGACCCGGCUCUUGCCCCUCGGCCUCCUCUCCAGGCCCACGACUGUUUCCAGUCAGCCUCUCCGGGCCCGGCUCUCCCUCGCGGCCGCGUCCAGCGGCCCAACUCCUGCCUGACGACGACCACAUUCGGCCCGGCUCCUGCCCAGCUCCUGGCAGCCUCUGUAGGCCCCAGGCUUCCCUGCGUUCAGGCCUUCCAGGCCCACCUUCGGCUUCCCGGCGGCCCGGAGAGACCCGGCUCCUGCCUGACGGCGGCCUCUCCCGGCCCAGCUGUGGCCUCACGUGGGCCUCCCCGGGCCACGUUUCCGCCUGCCUCGCGGCAGCCCCGGCAGGCCCGGCUCCCGCCUGCCGAGGGCCUCUUGAAGAGGCGCAUCUCGUGCCUGGCCGCAGCCUCCCCAGGCCAGGCUCCUGCCUCCCGGUAGCCUCCGCGGGCCCGGCUCCUGCGUCCCGAUGGCCUCCCUAGGCCCGGCUCGUGCCUCGCCGCGGCCUGUUGAGGCCCAGCUUUUCCCUCGUGGCGGCCUCUCCAGGCCCAGAACUUCCUCAGGUCGGCCUCCCCCGGCCCAGUGGCUGCCUCCCGGCCUCCUCUCCGGGCCCAGCUCUCUGCUCGCGGCUGCGCCCGCAGGCCCAGCUCCCGCCUCCAAACAGCCUCCUUUGACUCGGCUCCUGCCCAGCUGGCGGCGGCCUUCGUAGGCCCGAAGCCUCCUCCGCUCCAGCGCUCCGGGCCCGCCUCUUGCCUCGCCUCGCCUCGCCUCUCAGCGGCCUUUCCACGCCCAGCUCCCGCCUCCCGGCGGCCUUCCCCGGCCACGCUCGUGCCGGCCGCCCGGCAGCCUCCACAAGCCCAGCUCCUGCCUCACGCUGGCCCCUCUGGGCCCAGCUCAUGCCUCGCGGUGGUCUCUCCGGGCCCAGGUCCCGCCCAGCCCGACAGCACCUUCCGGCCCAAAGUUGCUUUCCUCAACGUCGGCCCCUCUGGGCCCAGCUCCUGCCUCCCGCUGAUGGCCUGUGCGGGCCCGAAGCGUCCCGAAGUCGGCCUGGCCAGGCCCAGCUCCUGCCUGGCGUAGGCCCCUAGGGGUGCGGCCUCUGCCCCACACUGGCCCCUGCGGGCCCGGCUCCGGCCUCAGCCUGUCCGCCUCAGGCCCAGCUCCUGCCUGUUGGCAGCCUCUCCAGACCCGGCUCUUGCCCCUCGGCCUCCUCUCCAGGCCCAGAACUGUUUCCAGUCGGCCUCUCCGGGCCCGGCUCUCCCUCGCGGCCGCGUCCAGGGGCCCAACUCCUGCCUGACGACGACGACGACGUUCGGCCCAGCUCCUGCCCAGCUCCUGGCAGCCUCUGUAGGCCCGAGGCUUCCCUGCGUUCAGGCCUUCCAGGCCCACCUUCGGCUUCCCGGCGGCCCGGAGAGACCCGGCUCCUUCCUGACGGCGGCCUCUCCCGGCCCAGCUGUGGCCUCACGUAGGCCUCCCCUGCCGAGGGCCUCUUGAAGAGGCGCAUCUCGUGCCUGGCCGCGGCCUACCCAGGCCAGGCUCCUGCCUCCCGGCAGCCUCCGCGGGCCCGGCUCCUGCGUCCCAAUGGCCUCCCUAGGCCCGGCUCUUGCCGCGGCCUCUUGAGGCCCAGCUUUUCCCUCGUGGCGGCCUCUCCAGGCCCAGAACUUCCUCAGGUCGGCCUCCCCCGGCCCAGUGGCUGCCUCCCGGCCUCCUCUCCGGGCCCAGCUCUCUGCUCGCGGCUGCGCCCGCAGGCCCAGCUCCCGCCUCCAAACAGCCUCCUUUGACUCGGCACCUGCCCAGCUGGCGGCGGCCUUCGUAGGCCCGAAGCCUCCUCCGGUCCAGCGCUCCGGGCCCGCCUCUUGCCUCGCCUCGCCUCGCCUCGCAGCGGCUUUUCCAGGCCCAGCUCCCGCCUCCCGGCGGCCUUCCCCGGCCACGCUCGUGCCGGCCGCCCGGCAGCCU